rnacentral:tRNA from 1 species
UAUUUAUAUAGUUUAAUAAAAACAUUAUAUUUUCAUUAUAAAAUCAGGGAUACCCUUAUAAAU